rnacentral:rRNA from 1 species
UACGAAGGGGGCGAGCGUUGUUCGGAAUUACUGGGCGUAAAGGGCGCGUAGGCGGCCGAUCAAGUUAGAUGUGAAAGUCCUGGGCUUAACCUGGGACUGCAUUUGAUACUGAUUGGCUUGAAUUCGGGAGAGGAUAGCGGAAUUCCCAGUGUAGAGGUGAAAUUCGUAGAUAUUGGGAAGAACACCAGCGGCGAAGGCGGCUCACUGGGCUCCACCUGACGCUGAGGCGCGAAAGCGUGGGGAGCAAACCGG